rnacentral:rRNA from 1 species
UACGUAGGGUGCGAGCGUUAAUCGGAAUUACUGGGCGUAAAGCGUGCGCAGGCGGUUCGUUGUGUCGGCGGUGAAAGCCCCGGGCUUAACCUGGGAAUGGCCGUCGAAACUGGCGAACUGGAGUGUGGCAGAGGGGGGUGGAAUUCCGCGUGUAGCAGUGAAAUGCGUAGAGAUGCGGAGGAACACCGAUGGCGAAGGCGGUUCUCUGGGCCUUACCUGACGCUGAGGAGCGAAAGCGUGGGGAGCAAACAGG